rnacentral:rRNA from 1 species
CCUACGGGUGGCAGCAGUGGGGAAUAUUGGACAAUGGGCGAAAGCCUGAUCCAGCCAUGCCGCGUGUGUGAAGAAGGCCUUCGGGUUGUAAAGCACUUUCAGUGGGGAAGAAAGCCUUGGGGCUAAUACCCUCGAGGAAGGACAUCACCCACAGAAGAAGCGCCGGCUAACUCCGUGCCAGCAGCCGCGGUAAUACGGAGGGUGCGAGCGUUAAUCGGAAUUACUGGGCGUAAAGCGCGCGUAGGCGGUCUGAUAAGCCGGUUGUGAAAGCCCCGGGCUCAACCUGGGAACGGCAUCCGGAACUGUCAGGCUAGAGUGCAGGAGAGGAAGGUAGAAUUCCCGGUGUAGCGGUGAAAUGCGUAGAGAUCGGGAGGAAUACCAGUGGCGAAGGCGGCCUUCUGGACUGACACUGACGCUGAGGUGCGAAAGCGUGGGUAGCAAACAGGAUUAGAUACCCGAGUAGUC